CCGGCCCGCGCGGCCCCCGACGCCGGAGCAGCGCCGGAUGCGGAGCAGGCGGUGACCACCGGGCCGUAGCGGUCGGCGGCACUUGCACGUCCUGAGUGGGAGAUCACAGAAUCACAGAAUGGUUGAGGUUGGAAGGGACCUCCGGAGAUCAUCUAGUCCCAACCCCCUACUCAAGCAGUGUCACCUACAGCACGUUGCAUGGGAUCCUGUCCAGGCGGGUUUUGAAUAUCUCCAGAGGAAACUCCACAACCUCUCUGAGCAACCUGUUCCAGUGCACUGAAAAGAAUCCAGCCUCAUCCCCUUGACACCCUCCCUCAAGACGGCAGCCGCCGGCCACCUCACCGACGAUGAACGGCACGGCCGACGCGAACCCGGCGGGCCGAAGCCACUUUGCCUCCGCCAUCCCGGUGCCUCGGGGUGCCAGAAGCCUCAAGGCCGAGAGCGGCCGCAAAGCCGGCGGUGGUGGGGCGCAGCGGGCGCCGCCGAGACCCCCGGUGGGACCCACCGGGUCGCCACAGGAGCCCGCG